CCUGGGCAUGUGCCUCUGUAUUUUCCCUUUUUCUAACAUUAUUUUUGAGCUGUGAUAUCCUUACUGCAACUUUCAUCUCAGAAACACUCAAGAGUGUUGCUACAGAAUUUGGCUUUCCAGUAGCCGCUGCUCUCCUUGGCUGAUCUGACAGAUUUUCUUUGGAACAACUUCUUCCUGCACAGUUUAUUGACUGGAGAGAGCCGGAGCCACGCGGCCGAGGGAUCCACACACGGCACCUUCCUCUGCAAACAGCACAGGGCUCGCCUGGCAGUGACCCACACAUCCCAAAGCAGCGCUGAAGAGAUGGGCAGAUACUCU